rnacentral:pre_miRNA from 1 species
UUAGACACCUCAACUAAGACUUGUACCUAUUGAUUUGGUCAUUUUUGAGUGUUUAAGU